rnacentral:tRNA from 1 species
CGCGGAGUGGAGCAGUUCGGUAGCUCGCUGGGCUCAUAUCCCAGAGGUCGCAGGUUCAAAUCCUGCCUCCGCAACCA